CCUACGGGAGGCAGCAGUGGGGAAUCUUGGACAAUGGGGGCAACCCUGAUCCAGCCAUGCCGCGUGAACGAUGAAGGCCUUAGGGUUGUAAAGUUCUUUCAGCUGGGAAGAUAAUGACAGUACCUGGAGAAUAAGCUCCGGCUAACUUCGUGCCAGCAGCCGCGGUAAUACGAAGGGGGCUAGCGUUGUUCGGAAUUACUGGGCGUAAAGCGCACGUAGGCGGACUUUUAAGUCAGGUGUGAAAUCCCGGGGCUCAACCUCGGAACUGCAUUUGAAACUGGGAGUCUUGAGACCAGGAGAGGUUAGCGGAAUACCGAGUGUAGAGGUGAAAUUCGUAGAUAUUCGGUGGAACACCAGUGGCGAAGGCGGCUAACUGGACUGGUACUGACGCUGAGGUGCGAAAGUGUGGGGAGCAAACAGGAUUAGAUACCCUGGUAGUCCACGCCGUAAACGAUGUGAACUAGCCGUUGGGCAGCAUGCUGUUCAGUGGCGCAGCUAACGCAUUAAGUUCACCGCCUGGGGAGUACGGCCGCAAGGUUAAAACUCAAAUGAAUUGACGG
rnacentral:rRNA from 1 species